rnacentral:rRNA from 1 species
CAUGCAGUCGAACGGGAAUCUUCGGAUUCUAGUGGCGGACGGGUGAGUAACGCGUAAGAAUCUAACUUCAGGACGGGGACAACAGUUGGAAACGACUGCUAAUACCCGAUGUGCCGAAAGGUGAAACCUAAUUGGCCUGAAGAAGAGCUUGCGUCUGAUUAGCUAGUUGGUGGGGUAAGAGCCUACCAAGGCGACGAUCAGUAGCUGGUCUGAGAGGAUGAGCAGCCACACUGGGACUGAGACACGGCCCAGACUCCUACGGGAGGCAGCAGUGGGGAAUUUUCCGCAAUGGGCGAAAGCCUGACGGAGCAACGCCGCGUGAGGGAGGAAGGUCUUUGGAUUGUAAACCUCUUUUCUCAAGGAAGAAGUUCUGACGGUACUUGAGGAAUCAGCCUCGGCUAACUCCGUGCCAGCAGCCGCGGUAAUACGGGGGAGGCAAGCGUUAUCCGGAAUUAUUGGGCGUAAAGCGUCCGCAGGUGGUCAGCCAAGUCUGCCGUCAAAUCAGGUUGCUUAACGACCUAAAGGCGGUGGAAACUGGCAGACUAGAGAGCAGUAGGGGUAGCAGGAAUUCCCAGUGUAGCGGUGAAAUGCGUAGAGAUUGGGAAGAACAUCGGUGGCGAAAGCGUGCUACUGGGCUGUAUCUGACACUCAGGGACGAAAGCUAGGGGAGCGAAAGGGAUUAGAUACCCCUGUAGUCCUAGCCGUCAACGAUGGAUACUAGGCGUGGCUUGUAUCGACCCGAGCCGUGCCGAAG